rnacentral:piRNA from 1 species
UGCAUUUCUUCAUGUGUGUAUGUGCAUUGG